rnacentral:ncRNA from 1 species
CAGGUGCUUCCUUGAGAAGCCUAACAGAAAAGCCGGUGAGAGACCGGCGCGGUCACGCCACUGUAAGACGGAGCAGCUCCGAGUUUAUGCCACUGGCCAUGUUGCCGGGAAGGUUCGGGAGCGCGAGGAAGUCGAGCCAGGAGAACUGCCUGUUCAG